rnacentral:tRNA from 1 species
CAUGACAUAGCUCAGUCGGUAAAGACUCUGCCUGCAAUGCAGGAGACCCAGGUUCGAUUCCUGGGUCAGGA